rnacentral:rRNA from 1 species
CCCUUAGAUGUUCUGGGCCGCACGCGCGCUACACUGAUUCAUGCAACGAGUUUUGUCCUUGGCUGAAAGGCCUGGGUAAUCUUUGAACGUGAAUCGUGCUGGGGAUAGAUGAUUGCAAUUAUUCAUCUUCAACGAGGAAUUCCUAGUAAACGCAAGUCAUCAGCUCGCGUUGAUUACGUCCCUGCCCUUUGUACACACCGCCCGUCGCUACUACCGAUUGAAUGGUUUAGUGAGGCCUCCUGAUUGGCGCCGCCGUGCCGGCAACGGAACAGCGGAUUGUCGAAAAGUUGGUCAAACUUGAUCAUUUAGAGGAAGUAAAANUCGUANCA